AUACGUAUGUCCCGAACGUUGCGCGAAAUUACUGGGCGUAAAGGGUCCGUAGGCGGUCUGGUAAGUGGAAGGUGAAAGCCUGGGGCUCAACUCCAGAAUUGCCUUCCAAACUGCCGGACUUGAGGCAGGGAGAGGUCGGCGGAAUUCCCGGUGUAGCGGUGAAAUGCGUGGAUAUCGGGAGGAACACCAGUGGCGAAGGCGGCCGACUGGAACUGUCCUGACGCUGAGGGACGAAAGCCAGGGGAGCGAACCGGAUUAGAAACCCUAGUAGUCC
rnacentral:rRNA from 1 species